GAUGAACGCUGGCGGCGUGCCUAAUACAUGCAAGUCGAGCGAACAGAUGAGGAGCUUGCUCCUCUGACGUUAGCGGCGGACGGGUGAGUAACACGUGGAUAACCUACCUAUAAGACUGGGAUAACUUCGGGAAACCGGAGCUAAUACCGGAUAAUAUAUUGAACCGCAUGGUUCAAUAGUGAAAGACGGUUUUGCUGUCACUUAUAGAUGGAUCCGCGCCGCAUUAGCUAGUUGGUAAGGUAACGGCUUACCAAGGCAACGAUGCGUAGCCGACCUGAGAGGGUGAUCGGCCACACUGGCACUGAGACACGGUCCAGACUCCUACGGGAGGCAGCAGUAGGGAAUCUUCCGCAAUGGGCGAAAGCCUGACGGAGCAACGCCGCGUGAGUGAUGAAGGUCUUCGGAUCGUAAAACUCUGUUAUUAGGGAAGAACAAAUGUGUAAGUAACUAUGCACGUCUUGACGGUACCUAAUCAGAAAGCCACGGCUAACUACG
rnacentral:rRNA from 1 species